CGCUGGCGGCGUGCCUAACACAUGCAAGUCGAACGGACGAGAGGGAGCUUGCUCCCUCAAGUUAGUGGCGGACGGGUGAGUAACGCGUGAGUAACCUGCCUUUCAGAGGGGAAUAACAUUCUGAAAAGAAUGCUAAUACCGCAUAACAUCGUAGUAUCGCAUGGUACAGCGAUCAAAGGAGCAAUCCGCUGAAAGAUGGACUCGCGUCCGAUUAGCUAGUUGGCGGGAUAAAAGGCCCACCAAGGCGACGAUCGGUAGCCGGACUGAGAGGUUGAUCGGCCACAUUGGGACUGAGACACGGCCCAGACUCCUACGGGAGGCAGCAGUGGGGGAUAUUGCACAAUGGGGAAACCCUGAUGCAGCAACGCCGCGUGAAGGAAGAAGGUCUUCGGAUUGUAAACUUCUGUCCUCAGGGAAGAUAAUGACGGUACCUGAGGAGGAAGCUCCGGCUAACUACGUG
rnacentral:rRNA from 1 species